rnacentral:lncRNA from 1 species
CUGUGUUAUCCGGUAUGUUUUAUUGAGAAUUUAAAAAAGUACAUGUAGUUUUUUCAAUUCAAUUUUGGGAUGGUCCCCUUCCACACAUACACAGGCUCAAUUGCCUUAAAAUAAUUAGUAAUUGGUUAAUAAUACUAUUUUUUCUUUGCUUUUUAAAAAACCUUCUCAGUGAGAAUUAACCCUGUAGAUUCAAUAGCCCCUUUCCUCUGAGUAACGGAGGGCAUACCUGCCCGUGUGGGGUCUUAGGAGGCAGUGGAGCAAGGAGAUGGCUCCUUCUCUAUAUUACAUUGAAGCACAUAGAAACUUCCUUUUUAAUUAGCAAAAUGUGGGUCAAAAGGUAUUUUUACAUUAGCAAAGUCACCUCUUGGGAUUCUGCAGUUCAAAUGUUAAUACCAGUUCGCAAAUACUUGGUAAACAAUUAGAGUUGGGCCUGCAAGGUGGUUCAGUACAUAAGGGUGUUUGCUGUGCAUGACUGGUGACCAGAUUUUGGCCCAUGUACCCACUUAGGUGAAGAAGGAAAAACGAAAGCACCUGACUCCACAGAAUUGUCCGCUGACCUCCACAAACAUGCCUUGGCACUCAUGCCCUCUCCCCCAUCAUCAUCAUUCAUUUAUUCAUUCGUUCGUUCAUUCAUUCAUUCAUUCAUUCAUUCGUCUCACACACCACACAUUAAGUUUUGUGAUAUCUAACAAGCUUGAUGUUGGUAACAAAGGACCGAGUUCAAAAUCUUCUAAACAUUAAACAGUCUCUAAGGAGUCUUUGUUACCAGACUUCCAUUUCAAAUUACUAAGCUAGCUGAUGUUACUUGAAAAUAAAAACCUAUUUUGUUUUAUAAGUUAUGUUUAAAAUGUUUUAGGUAACAUAAAAGACAUUUAAAAUUGUAGCUAACAGGGUAACCUCUUUUUCAGAAGACAUUUUACUUUUAAUAGUAAUAAAGUAAGGGUCCAUAUGUACCUCAACAAUAGAGUGCACAAGAUGCCCAGGAUUUAAUUCCAAGAAUCAAGAAAAGACAGGAAGAGGGUAUAGAGCAUAGCUGUACCCUAGAUGCAGAAGAACUGAGUCAAACAUCUCAGAACAUUUCAUUAAUGUGCAUAAGUGGUUCCUUUAAGGAUGGUGGCUCAUUCUAGCUAUUCUUAAUGAGACUUUGAGCUAUUUCCAUAUAAGUAACUAACUAUUUUGCUCCAAAGAUAUAUUAAUUCUAAACAGUAAUCACAAAGACUCAAAUUAAGAAUACACUUCCAAAUAGGAGAUACAAAUGAGUUUAUAUGAAAGCCACAUAGUUUUCUGUGUUAGUUCAUGGUUAGUUUGAGUGUUCUUACAUGUAUUGCUAAAAAAAAAAAA